UAGGCUCUUAACUGCUACAUUUUUC
rnacentral:piRNA from 1 species